AUGACCUCUCACAUUCGUCGGAACUAUUCCACCAAAGUGAAAGCUGCGGUGAACCCCCUGGUCAACUUGCACCUGCCGGCCUCCUACACCUACCUCUCUCUGGGCUUCUUUUUUGAUUGGAGGGUGUAGGCCACUUCUUCAGCGAAUUGGCCAAGGAAAAGGCCAAGGGCACCGUGUGUCUCAAGUUGCAGAACGAUCUCGGGGAUCGUGCACUCUUCCAGGAUGUGCAGAAGCCAUCUCAAGAUGAAUGGGGUAAACCCCAGGAGGCCAUGGAAGCUGCCCUGGCCCUAGAGAAGAACCUGAACCAGGCCCUCUUGGAUCUGCAUGGCCUGGGUUCUGCCCGCACAGACCCUCAUCCUCUGACUUCUUGGAAAUCCACUUCCUGGAUAAGGAGGUGAAGUUCAUCAAGAAGAUGGGCAACCACCUGACCAACCUCCGUAGAGUGGCAGGGACACCGCAAGCACAGACUAGCAUGCCCCAGGCAUCUAUGGGAGAGUAUCUCUUUGAGUGCCUCACUCUCAAGCACGGCUAGGAG
rnacentral:lncRNA from 1 species